rnacentral:rRNA from 1 species
UACGGAGGAUGCGAGCGUUAUCCGGAUUUAUUGGGUUUAAAGGAUGCGUAGGCGGGAUGCCAAGUCAGCGGUAAAAAUGCGGUGCUCAACGCCGUCGAGCCGUUGAAACUGGCGUUCUUGAGUGGGCGAGAAGUAUGCGGAAUGCGUGGUGUAGCGGUGAAAUGCAUAGAUAUCACGCAGAACUCCGAUUGCGAAGGCAGCAUACCGGCGCCCUACUGACGCUGAGGCACGAAAGCGUGGGUAUCGAACAGG